GCCCCGAUAGCUCAGUGGUAGAGCACCGCCAUGGUAAGGCGGCGGUCGUCAGUUCAAUCCUGACUCGGGGCU
rnacentral:tRNA from 1 species